UUGAAGAAUCAUUUUAAGAACGAACGCUGGCGGCAGGCUUAACACAUGCAAGUUGAACGGGAUUUGUGUGGUGCUUGCACCAUAUAAUGAGAGUAGCGCACUGGUGAGUAACACGUGGGAACGUACCUUUUGGUGGGGGACAACAUCUGGAAACGGAUGCUAAUACCGCAUAAGACCUGAGGGUGAAAGAUUUAUCGCCGAAAGAACGGCCCGCGGAAGAUUAGGCAGUUGGUGGGGUAAAGGCCUACCAAACCUACGAUCUAUAGCUGGUCUGAGAGGACGAUCAGCCACACUGGAACUGAGACACGGUCCAGACUCCUACGGGAGGCAGCAGUGAGGAAUAUUGGGCAAUGGAGGCAACUCUGACCCAGCCAUGCCGCGUGAGUGAAGAAGGUUUUCGGAUUGUAAAGCUCUUUCGGAUGUGACGAUGAUGACGGUAGCAUCUAAAGAAGCCCCGGCUAACUUCGUGCCAGCAGCCGCGGUAAUACGAAGGGGGCGAGCGUUGUUCGGAAUUACUGGGCGUAAAGGGUGUGUAGGCGGUUAUGUAAGAUAGCGGUGAAAUCCCGGGGCUUAACCUCGGAAUAGCCGUUAUAACUAUGUAGCUAGAGUUAUGGAGAGGAUAGCGGAAUACCCAGUGUAGAGGUGAAAUUCGUAGAUAUUGGGUAGAACACCGGUGGCGAAGGCGGCUAUCUGGCCAUAUACUGACGCUGAGGCACGAAAGCAUGGGGAUCAAACAGGAUUAGAUACCCUGGUAGUCCAUGCUGUAAACGAUGAAUGCUGGUUGUCGGCUUUAGGGUCGGUGACGAAGUUAACGCGA
rnacentral:rRNA from 1 species